AUUGAACGCUGGCGGCCGGCCUAACACAUGCAAGUCGAACGAGUGGCGGACGGGUGAGUAAUGUCUGGGAAACUGCCUGAUGGAGGGGGAUAACUACUGGAAACGGUAGCUAAUACCGCAUACCAUCAGAUGUUCCCAGAUGGGAUUAGCUAGUUGGUUGUGUAACGGCUCACCUAGGCGACGAUCCCUAGCUGGUCUGCGAGGAUGACCAGCCACCCUGGAACUGAGACACGGUCAAGACUCCUACGGGAGGCAGCAUUGGGGAAUAGUGCACAAUGGGCGCAAGCCUGAUGCAGCCAUGCCGCGUGUAUGAAGAAGGCCUUCGGGUUGUAAAGUACUUUCAGCGGGGAGGCGUUACCCGCAGAAGAAGCACCGGCUAACUCCGUGCCAGCAGCCGCGGUAAUAC
rnacentral:rRNA from 1 species